GGGAAUAUCAUUUCAGAACAUCUACACAAAUUUUGUCCACCCACAGUGUGUCGCGUAUUUUCUUAAUGUUAGCACUCUUCUCGAGAUCACGGGCCUUUUGCAAAUUCCAAAAGAUGGAAUUUUCUCGUGGACGCAAUGUCCAGCUUGCAAGCGACGGGUGGGCUCGUGCUACACGGAAUAAUCUUAUCAUGUCUGAACAGAACCCGGAGAUGAGGGAAACCGCAGCUCGUAUCUGUCGUGAUUACUUACAUGGAGUUUGGAAGCAUGUUACUGCUGACAAUAUUAUUUUUAAACGUAUCAGUGGAGGUUUAAGUAAUUGGUUGUACCACGUGGAGCUUCCUGAAGGUACUGCACCAGUACGUGGAGAACCACGCCAGGUCCUUCUGAGAUUAUACGGUCAAGUUCAUGGAGAACGGGCGUUGGAGGGUCUUAUUACCGAAUCGGUGAUUUUCACCCUACUUUCGGAAAGGCGUCUUGGUCCAAAACUUCAUGGAAUUUUUCCCGGUGGUCGAAUAGAGGAAUACAUUCCUGCUCGGCCGCUCCUUACCAAGGAAUUAGCUGAUCCUACUCUGAGUGAGAUGAUCGCUGAAAAAAUGGCACAGAUUCAUAGCAUGCAAGUGCCUAUCAGCAAAGAACCCACGUGGUUAUGGGACACGAUGGCCAGGUGGUUAGAUACAACUACUGAAAUCCUAGACAACGUCGAUGAGAUUGAUGCACGUCAUUUGGAGAAUGUCAAUGCGAUUAGAGCAAUGGACUUGGAGCAUGAGUUGUCUUGGUACAGAACGUUUGUGAAACAAGUGAAACAUCCGGUUGUUUUUUGUCACAACGAUAUGCAGGAGGGAAAUAUUCUUAUUCGUCAAAAUUCACGGAAACCCGAGCUGGUACUUAUUGACUUUGAAUAUUGCUCGUACAACUACAGGGGAUUCGACAUCGCAAACCAUUUCGUCGAAUGGCAGUACGAUUAUACGGCGGACAAAUAUCCCUUCUACCACGAGCGAGUAGGCGCUGGACCAACGAAAGAACAAAAGGUAAGUUACAAAUGGGGGGUUGGUAGGGUUGAAAUAAUUGAUUGACCAUGGGUAAGAUAUAUUUUCCAUGAUACGAUAUAUAUAUUCUUCUAAAAAAAGUGUUUCAAAUCAUCCAAACGAAACUUCAUGACUGUUUAUUAUAGGAUGCAUAACUUAUAACUGAGACGAUGUAUAAGAAAAUAUGCACUAGUAUUUAUUGUAUAAUAGUACAUUUGUGGUAAAAUUAACGAAAAAUCAUAUUCCACAUCUAAUUGAACAUGAGUUGCUUGUCUGCUCUUAUUAUUUUGAGUCUAAAAAUUUUCCAUAUAACAAUUUUAUAGAACAUUUGACAAAGUAGAUUUUGAGAAAUUAUCUCCAACAGAGAGUCAUUGUGCAUACAAAUGCAUUAUUAUAGAGUAAGUGUCACUGCAAGUCCACAAUCAUAAUUCAUAAUCGAGUAAUUAGAAACUAUCACAGCUUUUCAGCAUAAAAACAUUAAAAAGCCACUAUAUUAUUAUUUUGACUCUUCCUCUCUGAAUAUGUUCUUAUUCCUCGCGUUACAUUCCUUCAGUAAACUUUCGCCGUCAAUCAGCAUAGCAAGUUCGCUUUCAAUAAGGUGUAUGACAGUCUAAAGGUGCUUAUAUGUACCACUAGAUGCUAUACUGUAAUACGAAAAAGAAGGGUAGGACACCUUGGCGUGUGUUGCGUGUGUAUGUAUUAGUUUCACAGGACCACUAUUCUCUGAGACAAGGCUGAGGCCUGCGUUCGACACAAAACGGGGGGCAAAUGAAAACUGCCAGUGUGACGGGUCCUGACUCCCGCUGUGCGUUGUGGUGGAACGAGAGGAACCGGUGCCACCCGACAUGGCGACACCAGUCCCGCAUCUGCGCCUCUACAACACUAGAGUACCUCAACACGCACUCUCAAUAGUCAAUCCAUAACCUCCUUAACCCAAUCCAUGUACUGUGUCUGUCCGGUAAUAAAAACUGCGGUACUUGAAAUUAAGGCACACCUCAUUGGAUGAGCUUUGAUCGUAGUACUCACGGUGGCGUGGUACGUUGGCCUAGUUGCUGCCACAACAACUAGACACAUCAUGUGCUCUCUUCUGAACAUCUCAAUUUCAUCAGAAGUUACUUAAGGACAACCGGAAAAGGCGAUCAGGCAGAGGAAGACAGAAUAAUGGCAGAGAUCAAGCUUUUUUCAUUGGCCAGUCAUCUCUUUUGGGGGCUGUGGAGUAUCGUGAAUGCCAAACUCUCUCAAAUUCCAUUUGGGUACUGGGAUUACGCAGCAACGAGAUUGAAGAACUACCAGUACUUAAAGGAAAAAAUUCUCGUAUCUGCACCCAUGUUUCCAGAAAAUGGAGUCAAAAGAAAGGUCACGCAAAUGGACUGAAACAUAUGAUGUCUCUUGUGAUUGCAAUACUCAAUUCCUGCGUCAGGAAUCACGGCCUCCUAGCUUGGGCCGCGACAAAACAAAAAUGAAAAAAAUGACGGUAUACUCGAUGAAGUUUAACCGGGAAGAUGAUCUUUCAAGAUCAGUAGUUCUUUCAGCAUCCGUGCUGUACUUCCAAUUUUAAAUUGAUUGAUUGGAUCAUUAGCUUAUUCCAUCUGUGCAUUACAAUCGAAAGAUUAUGGUGGAGAAGAAAGUCGAGAAUGUGAUAUACAAUAAGAAUCUGAAAGAAAUCGAUUAUUCGUUUACCGUAAAAAUAUCAAGUACAUGCGACACAGUAGCACCACGAGAAUUGUAAGCCGUUUGAAACCGGCUUAUUUAAUACCUGCACGUAAAGCACUAACCUAUGCUACCUAGAGUACUCUUCUUUUGAGGUUAAAAAAAUUUCCAAGCAUUUGGAAAGAAUUUGCUAUAAAAUGCAAACGUAUCCUAGACAUUUUAAGCUUCUUACAAAUGACAAAGGAAAUUCAUCACGUACGUACUUAUGGGUCAAACUUGAGCGUCCGGUGUACUAUGGAGCAUCGUACUUUACUUUGCGAUUACUUAACAAACAUUUACGUAAAUACAAACUCUCGCUAAAGGAGUAUACUAGGUCACUGGGAAUGACCAAGAGAAUUCUGUGACUUAUUAGGAACUAAUUUAAUAUUAUUUAGUUGUUAGUUGUUUACCAUUGAAUAUCAGCGAUUAAACAGACGCUUAAUUAUUGUAUGUGUUAUGCACUUAUUGUACAAGAUAAGGCAGGAAGUGCUUUUUGUUUACUUCAAACGUUGUCUUGUGACAUGUUUUUUUUUCUUUUUAUUGUUUUACUAUAUAUCCCUUGCGGUUUUUUACACGACACCUCAAUGCAAUAUAAACAGUAUACUUUUGUAUAUAUAGAAGUCCAGAGAUGAUAGAAUGGUGAAACGAUGCGAAUUGCAAUGGUAAUUAAUGACUUAUAGUUUCCUAACGCAACGAAUUCAAUCAUAAACGAUCAGAGGAGUGAUCUUCAAUAUUUUCUAUAAAUUUUAUAUGCGAAUGAGUAAUAAUCGUGUAUUUUGCGUGAAAUUUUAAGGUGCAAAUUAUCAGAACUAUGACAGUAUUUCAAUAGCUGUGAAGUGAUACAAUUACAGUAAUAUGCAUCUGAAAAUGUUAAACAGUAUCAUCUAUCUGAAUGACAGCUUAUCACAGAGUAGUGGGAAACAAUGUCGUUUCCUGCAUUAUAGGUUUUUGGUAGUUACGAGUUGGCAUGUCGCACGAAACUUUCUCGCCAAAAUACAAUAAUGUAAUUCGCACAUUGCUAAAUUUAUCUAUAUUUAAAUAAUUUUAAUAUUGCAUUUUAGGUAGGAUCAAGUAUUAAAAAUUUCUUCUGUAUAAUGAUAUCAAAGAUUAUAUUACUACUGUUUCUUUAUUAUGUAAAAUUGUUUUUUUAAUAAAUUUUAUUAAUAUAA